GGCCCGUCCCAAUCCCAAAACCCCCACAGCACCGCGGCUCCACCCCCAACCCACCUCCAGCCCCCGGCUUCGGCGCGCCUCUUGCCGACGAUCCUCCCGGCUCCAGCGCGCCUCUCACGGCCGCCGCCCCGGCCCCGGCGCGCCUCCCGCCGCCGGGCCCCAUCCCCAGCGUGCCUCUCUCCAUCCCCAGAUCGCCUCCCGCCGCCGCCCUCCAUCCCCACCACGCCCCAACCGCCGGACCUUCGCCGGCCACCGCAGCCGGUGACCGCAUCCCCUGGCUUGGCUGCACGCGAUGGGGAUCCCCCAUCUCCCAGCAAACCUUGCAGCUGCACGCCACCUCCCUCGUCCUAAGGUUGGGCGCGAUGUGAACUGCGAACGGAUCAGUGAUUGGACUAGCAGCAGUUAACUGUACCAACACGGGCUGACAACAACUCGCACGCGUUCGUCUCCGUCGACGGCGGUCAGCACCUCUAACACAUGACAGACCCGCUCCCCUAGCUCCUGUUGCUUCCAUGACAACUGCUCAUGCGCACCUCCAACGCAUGAGGCACCCCCUACUCAGACGGUGCCUGCUACUCCUGCCUCUCAAGCACCAGCCACACCAGCACCUCAAGCAGUGGCUGUGCCAGCACCUAUUGCUCCUGGUCCAGCUGCCACCUCCUCCCCAGCUCCUGCUGUUGCUGUCUCCAUUGAAGCAGAAACUUAUGGUCAGGCUGCUUCAAACCUUGUUGCGGGAGGCGCCCUAGAGGCAACAAUUCAGUCAAUUCUUGAAAUGGGCGGUGGACAUGGGACAGAGACACUGAAUUGCUGCUCGUGAUAGUGGCGCUUUUGCAUGGGAGAUCAUUCCGGUUGAAGUUCCUGUUGGCAGAGGAAAACCACCGGUACUUGUUGAAAAAGACAAGAGCCUAGAGCCCUAGACAGGUUUGACCCAGCGAAACUGAGGAAGCUCCGCCCAAGUUUCAAGGAGAACACUGGUACCGUUACUGCUGGGAAUGCUUCUAGUAUAAGAAAAUGUGGCCUCCCUCCUGAGGCUUCGUUCGUUUAAACCCACCCCAAACUGCAGGGAUUUCAUCGGGUUUUGACCCACGUCUCCCCCGCGUGGAAGAAAACCUCUCGUAUCGAAAGAAGAAAGAGGAGAGGGCGAGAGCAGCAUGGUGCGGAGCGGGCGAUCUCUCUCCUCCACUGAAGACCGGCUGCUGCACCAUCCUUCUACCGGUGACAAGGGCCGUCUUGCCGGCGAGGCUCCACAGCUCCUCUCUACUUGCUCUACAUAGUUAAAACCUUUUUGUCAGUGUCAUUAGCAGUGCACAUAUAUGCUAUUUAUUUGUCCCUGAGAUUCAGUAAAACUGUAUUUCUUGGAGCAACUGGCCUAUCCAUAAGGCUACACGGGAAUAAUUUGUGUAAAGAAUAGGACAGGGAACUGCCUAUAAGCAUGACAAAUACAUGUCAAACAAAUCUACAAUAUUGUAACCCAAUCUCAA